rnacentral:rRNA from 1 species
UACCAGCACCCCGAGUGGUCGGGACGAUUAUUGGGCCUAAAGCAUCCGUAGCCGGUUCUACAAGUCUUCCGUUAAAUCCACCUGCUUAACAGAUGGGCUGCGGAGGAUACUAUAGAGCUAGGAGGCGGGAGAGGCAAGCGGUACUUAGUGGGUAGGGGUAAAAUCCGUUGAUCCAUUGAAGACCACCAGUGGCGAAGGCGGCUUGCCAGAACGCACUCGACGGUGAGGGAUGGAAAGCUGGGGGGAGCAAACCGG